rnacentral:misc_RNA from 1 species
GAAAUGCGAUAAGUAAUGUGAAUUGCAGAAUUCCGUGAAUCAUCGAAUCUUUGAACGCACAUUGUGCCCUCUGGUAUUCCGGGGGGCAUGCCUGUCCGAGCGUCAUUGCGAACCCCUCAAGCACGGCUUGUGUGAUGGGCCCUCCCGCGUCUUGGUCGUCAAGACGGGCCCGAAAUGCAGUGGCGGCUUCGCGGUUAUCCGAUCAGCCAGAGCGUAUGGGGACUUUCUCUCUGUCACACGCCCGCGGCGCGGACCGACGCCUGUCGACCUUCAUUCAUCGUUUUCUCGGUUGACCUCGGAUCAGGUAGGGAUACCCGCUGAACUUAAGC